UACGUAGGUGGCGAGCGUUGUCCGGAAUUACUGGGUGUAAAGGGCGAGUAGGCGGGAUCAUAAGUCAGUAGUGAAAUACCGCAGCUUAACUGCGGGGCUGCUAUUGAAACUAUGGUUCUUGAGUGAUGGAGAGGCAGGCGGAAUUCCCGGUGUAGCGGUGAAAUGCGUAGAGAUCGGGAGGAACACCAGUGGCGAAGGUGGCCUGCUGGACAUUAACUGACGCUGAGGCGCGAAAGCGUGGGGAGCAAACAGG
rnacentral:rRNA from 1 species